UACGUAGGGUGCAAGCGUUAAUCGGAAUUACUGGGCGUAAAGCGUGCGCAGGCGGUUAUGUAAGACAGGUGUGAAAUCCCCGGGCUUAACCUGGGAACUGCAUUUGUGACUGCAUAGCUAGAGUACGGUAGAGGGGGAUGGAAUUCCGCGUGUAGCAGUGAAAUGCGUAGAUAUGCGGAGGAACACCGAUGGCGAAGGCAAUCCCUUGGACCUGUACUGACGCUCAUGCACGAAAGCGUGGGGAGCAAACGAGG
rnacentral:rRNA from 1 species